GAUCAUGCAGAGAUGUGGAGAGUGCCUUCAAGAAUAGGAACGCAGGUGCUGCAUGGCUGUAGUCAACAAAAAGUCGUGGGAUGUUGGGUUAAGUCCCGUAACGAGCGCAACCCUUGUCCUUAAUUACCAGCACGUUAUGGUGGGCACUCUAAGGAGACUGCCGGUGACAAACCGGAGGAAGGUGGGGAUGACGUCAAGUCAUCAUGGCCCUUACGGCCAGGGCUACACACGUGCUACAAUGGUCGGUACAGAGGGUUGCCAAGCCGCGAGGUGGAGCUAAUCCCAUAAAACCGAGCGUAGUCCGGAUCGCAGUCUGCAACUCGACUGCGUGAAGUCGGAAUCGCUAGUAAUCGUGAAUCAGAAUGUCACGGUGAAUACGUUCCCGGGCCUUGUACACACCGCCCGUCAGGACCAUGGGAGUGGGUUGCUCCAGAAGUAGCUAGUCUAACCGCAAGGGGGACGGUUACCCAGCGGGAAGGUUUUGGUCU
rnacentral:rRNA from 1 species